CCUACGGGCGGCAGCAGUGGGGGAUAUUGCACAAUGGGGGCAACCCUGAUGCAGCGACGCCGCGUGGGUGAAGAAGCGCCUCGGCGCGUAAAGCUCUGUCAGCAGGGAAGAAAAUGACGGUACCUGAAGAAGAAGCCCCGGCUCACUACGUGCCAGCCGCCGCGGUAAUACGUCGGGGGCAAGCGUUAUCCGGAUUUACUGGGUGUAAAGGGGGCGCAGACGGCGAUGCAAGCCAGGGGUGAAAGGCCGGGGCCCAACCCCGGGACUGCUCUUGGAACUGCGUGGCUAGAGUGCAGGAGGGGCAGGCGGAAUGCCUGGUGUAGCGGUGAAAUGCGUAGAGAUCAGGAGGAACACCGGUUGCGAAGGCGGCCUGCUGGACUGCAACUGACGUUGAGGCCCGAAAGCGUGGGGAGCAAACAGGAUUAGAUACCCCGGUAGUC
rnacentral:rRNA from 1 species